UGUCUUCACGCUAGCCACCCCAAACCACUUUUUGUAUUUUUUUUUGGUCUAGAUACCAAGAUAUUCGUUAGUUCACGUUUAUUCAGGCAUUAAAAUCGUUAGGACCCGAUUCCUUCAUUUUUUUUUUUUUAAAGUGGGGGGGUGGCUGUCUUCACGCUAGCCACCCCAAACCACUUUUUGUAUUUUUUUUUGGUCUAGAUACCAAGAUAUUCGUUAGUUCACGUUUAUUCAGGCAUUAAAAUCGUUAGGACCCGAUUCCUUCAUUUUUUUUUUUUUUAAAGUGGGUGGUUUGGGGUGGCUAGCGUGAAGACAGCCACCCC